AGCUUAUGGCUCGGGAUUAAAUUUUUGUUUCUUCAGUUUCUUCUGGGAUACCUUUUUCUUCUGUGCAACCUCCUCCUCUGGUUUAGGAACAAUCUGCU